rnacentral:sRNA from 1 species
CAGUUUCAAUCUGCUGGGGACAUAUAAAAUGUAUGUGUGUGUCAAUGCCACCUGGUGUUACAAUAAGUCCUUCACCGGCAAUAACUUCAGUGGAGGCACCAAUUAUCAGAUCUUGUGAAACGCCAUUCAUAACACCGGGAUUUCCGGAUUUCCCAAUCCCUACUAUUUUACCAUCCCUGAUUCCGAUGUCUCCCUUAACAAUUCCCCACGAGUCAAGAACUAUGGCAUUGGUGAUAACCAAAUCCAAAACCUUCUCAUCCCUUGCAGCUGAGGGUGAUUGACCCAUUCCG